rnacentral:rRNA from 1 species
AUUGAACGCUGGCGGCAGGCCUAACACAUGCACGUCGAGCGAGCGGCGGACGGGUGAGUAAUGUAUGGGGACUGCCCGAUAGAGGGGGAUAACUACUGGAAACGGUGGCUAAUACCGCAUACUAUCGGAUAACCCAUAUGGGAUUAGCUAGUAGGUGGGGUAAAGGCUCACCUAGGCGACGAUCUCUAGCUGGUCUGAGAGGAUGAUCAGCAAUACUGGGACUGAGACACUGCCCAGACCUCUACGGAGGCAGCAGUGGGGAAUAUUGCACAAUGGGCGCAAGGCUGAUGCAGCCAAGCCGCGUGUAAGAAGAAGGCCCUAGGGUUGUAAAGUACUUUCAGCGGGUAGGCGUGACCCGCAGAAGAAGAACCGGCUAAAGCCGUGCCAGCGGCCGCGGUAAUAC